rnacentral:rRNA from 1 species
GAUGAACGCUGGCGGCGUGCCUAAUACAUGCAAGUCGAGCGAACGGACGAGAAGCUUGCUUCUCUGAUGUUAGCGGCGGACGGGUGAGUAACACGUGGAUAACCUACCUAUAAGACUGGGAUAACUUCGGGAAACCGGAGCUAAUACCGGAUAAUAUUUUGAACCGCAUGGUUCAAAAGUGAAAGACGGUCUUGCUGUCACUUAUAGAUGGAUCCGCGCUGCAUUAGCUAGUUGGUAAGGUAACGGCUUACCAAGGCAACGAUGCAUAGCCGACCUGAGAGGGUGAUCGGCCACACUGGAACUGAGACACGGUCCAGACUCCUACGGGAGGCAGCAGUAGGGAAUCUUCCGCAAUGGGCGAAAGCCUGACGGAGCAACGCCGCGUGAGUGAUGAAGGUCUUCGGAUCGUAAAACUCUGUUAUUAGAGAAGAACAUAUGUGUAAGUAACUGUGCACAUCUUGACGGUACCUAAUCAGAAAGCCACGGCUAACUACGUGCCAGCAGCCGCGGUAAUACGUAGGUGGGCAGCGUUAUCCGGAAUUAUUGGGCGUAAAGCGCGCGUAGCGGUUUUUUAGUCUGAUGUGAAAGCCCACGGCUCACCGUGGAGGGUCAUUGGAAACUGGAAAACUUGAGUGCAGAAGAGGAAAGUGGAAUUCCAUGUGUAGCGGUGAAAUGCGCAGAGAUAUGGAGGAACACCAGUGGCGAAGGCGACUUUCUGGUCUGUAACUGACGCUGAUGUGCGAAAGCGUGGGGAUCAAACAGGAUUAGAUACCCUGGUAGUCCACGCCGUAAACGAUGAGUGCUAAGUGUUAGGGGGUUUCCGCCCCUUAGUGCUGCAGCUAACGCAUUAAGCACUCCGCCUGGGGAGUACGACCGCAAGGUUGAAACUCAAAGGAAUUGACGGGGACCCGCACAAGCGGUGGAGCAUGUGGUUUAAUUCGAAGCAACGCGAAGAACCUUACCAAAUCUUGACAUCCUUUGACAACUCUAGAGAUAGAGCCUUCCCCUUCGGGGGACAAAGUGACAGGUGGUGCAUGGUUGUCGUCAGCUCGUGUCGUGAGAUGUUGGGUUAAGUCCCGCAACGAGCGCAACCCUUAAGCUUAGUUGCCAUCAUUAAGUUGGGCACUCUAAGUUGACUGCCGGUGACAAACCGGAGGAAGGUGGGGAUGACGUCAAAUCAUCAUGCCCCUUAUGAUUUGGGCUACACACGUGCUACAAUGGACAAUACAAAGGGCAGCGAAACCGCGAGGUCAAGCAAAUCCCAUAAAGUUGUUCUCAGUUCGGAUUGUAGUCUGCAACUCGACUACAUGAAGCUGGAAUCGCUAGUAAUCGUAGAUCAGCAUGCUACGGUGAAUACGUUCCCGGGUCU